ensembl:lncRNA
CGUUGGUGGAAGAAGUGGACCAAAGCACAGCGUGGACUGUGGUGUGAAGUUUGACACCAUCCGCCGCUUCAAGCAGCAUGUCCGCAGGAAGCAACAUCAACAGCAAGUGGCAGAGCUCUUCCAGACAGAUGAGUACCACGGUCAAGUCUACUUUGCCCCUUUCUUGGUUCUGGAGCAUCUGGCCAGGAAACCCACAAACACCCCAUAUCCCAUCAUCGGUCUGUGCCUGGUGACAUUGUGUGUGAGUCCAGAGGGGAGGGAUACUUUCUACCUUUGUCACAGUUGUGAGGAGAAGUGUGGCCCAGGACAGAUCAUAGACCACCUCCUCUCUGCUGACCACCUCUCCAACUACUAUAGCUACACAGACCCUGAUGUGUUGAGUUUCUCCUGGAUGCCUAACAUGGAUAUGUUGAACCUCCUACGGCCGCUAGCUGUCAAAGAGAUGGACAAGGAUGGACCUGGAGUGCUACGGGUGCUGGACAUGCCUAAGAGUGUGUCUGUGAAAUUGAAGACAAGUGGCUACUCUAAAGUCAUGCAGGCCCUGACUCAGACUGACAGGCUGGCUGAGUGUAUCAGAGCUGACAGACCAGAAAGGAUGACUAUACAAGAGUACCACAGAGACCCCAACAGGAAACACCCUCUGCUGGGUCUACAGCACCUGGUGGAGUACUGCUGUGAAGGGCAUGGCCAAAGGAGAUCCUACCUCUGUCAGCUCUGCCGCCUCCCUGUCCCCUCACGGAGGGUCAUCCAACACACACUCGGCUUCGACCACCUCUACUGGUACUUCAAGGUGUUUCACCCCUCCACCCUCCUGAUGAAGGACUGUUAUAAAGAGUACAGCUGCAGGUUCAUCGCCAUGAUCCUGGACCUGGCCAAUCAGGUGCAAGACAUCAGUCAGUCAGCCAAUAUGGAGAUACAGCAAGUUGUGUUGGAACCAGCAGUGUUCUCCUCAGUUGAGUUUUCUGUCUACACAGAGGCUCUGAGGAAGUUGCAGACCAUUAGGAGAGCUCGUAAGGAGGGCAGCCUUAAGACCAGCAUUAUACCUGGAGACAAACUGGUUCCUUCCUCAGAAGGGUCAAAGAUUACCAAAGAUGUUACCAUGACUAAUGUUGCUGAGGCUGUUCCUAUGGAGACCAAGUCAAGCCCAGUGAAGACCUAUGUCACACCUACAGCUGUUGAGACUGUAGCUACAGCAAGUACUGCUCCAGUUGUUACCAAAGCUACUAGCCAGAGGGGGACCUGUCGACUGCACUGUCAGGACUGCAACGUGGUAUGUGAGUCUGUGUCGCAGUACAAGUUACAUGUGCGUCACUGGAAACACAAGGAGAUGCUAGGAGUUAUCUUUGAACCAGGUACUAGUG